rnacentral:rRNA from 1 species
UGGGUUUGAUCCUGGCCCAGAAUGAAUGCUAGUGGUAGGCUUAAAACAUGCAAGUUGAACGGCGAGCUUUUGCGAGCAGUAGCGAACGGGUGAGUAGUACACAGGAAUCUGCCCAAAAGUUUGGAGAAAUACCAAAUAGAAAGCUUAAGGCGCUUUUGGAUGAGCCUGUGCAGGAUUAGGUAGUUGGUGAGGUAAAGGCUCACCAAGCCGAUGAUCCUUAGCUGGUCUGAGAGGAGAAUCAGCCACACUGAAACUGAGACACGGUUCAGACUCUUACGAGAGGCAGCAGUUAGGAAUAUUGGACAAUGGGGGAAACCCUGAUCCAGCCAUAUCGCGUGAGUGACGAAGGGAAUAUCUUGUAAAACUCUUAAUGGUGAAUGAAUGAUGAUCAAAGCCAUGAACAAGCGCCGGCUAACUCCGUGCCAGCAGCCGCGGUAAUACGGGGGGCGCUAGUGUUAUUCGGAAUGACUGGGCGUAAAGGGCAUGUAGGCGGGUUUUUAGGUUGAACCGUAAUGACUAGAGCUUAACUGUAGUGGGUGUUCAAAACCGUUAACCUAGAGCUCGAGAGAGGUAAGUAGAAUUUCUGGUGGAGAGGUGGAAUUCUUAGAUAUCAGAAGGAAUACCAAAAGCGAAGGCAACUUUCUGGCUCGAGCUGACGCUGAGGUGCGAAAGCAUGGGGAGCGAGCAGGAUUAGAUACCCUGUUAGUCCAUGCCCUCAACGAUGCCAGUUAAAUGGGGGCCCGAGAGGGUCUUUGUUAAAGCUAACGCGUUAAACUGGCCGCCUGAAGACUACGGCCGCAAGGUUAAAAUUCAAAGGAAUAGACGGGGGAGCACACGAGCAGUGGAUGAUGCGCUUUAAUUCGAAACUACGCGAAAAACCUUACCAGUUCUUGAAAUACAAUGUACAGGUGCUGCAUGGCUAUUGUCAGCUCGUGUCGUGAGAUGUUUGGUUAAGUCCUUUAACGAGCGUAACCCUUAUUUUGAGUUGCAAUCUCAAAAAACUGCUAGAGACAAUCUAUGAGGAAGGUGAGGAUUACUUUAAGUCAGCAUGGCCCUUAUGAACUGGGCUAGACGCGUCAUACAAUGGAAACGACAAAGGGAAACAACUAGGUGACUAAGAGUGAAUCCUAAACCGUUUCCGUAGUUGGGAUUGUUCUCUGCAACUCGAGAAUAUGAACCCGGAAUUGCUAGUAAUCGUGGAUCAGCAUGCCACGGUGAAACUGUACCUGCUCCCUGUACUCACAGCCCGUCACACCCAGGGAAUCGAUUAGGCCUGAAGCAUGUCUAGAAUGGAGUGAAGUGGUUCUUUGAACCCCCGCCAUCUUUAGAUAGACCACGGUAGAGUUGAUAACUUUGGUGAAGUCGUAACAAGGUAGCGGUAGGGGAACCUGCUGCUGG